rnacentral:rRNA from 1 species
UAUAUCAACUGGCUACUGUGCCAGCUGGUGGAUAGCUCGGCUCGAGAGCCGAUGACGGACGUGCCAAGCUGCGAUAAGCCUCAGGGACCCGCAUGGAGGGAAAGAACUGAGGAUCUCCGAAUGGGAAUCCCCACAGCAAUUGCCUAGCGCAAUGGGGAACGUUCCGAAUUGAAACAUCUUAGUAGGAACAGGAAAAGAAAGCAAUCCGCGAUGUCGUUAGUAACGGCGAGUGAACGCGAUACAGUCCAAACCGAAGCCUUCGGGCAAUGUGGUGUACGGACUACCCAUAACGGACCUGGAAUUCACACGAAGUCUCCUGGAACGGAGCGUGAUACAGGGUGAAAACCCCGUAGUGUGAAGGAAAGAUCCCGGGGUUGUUCCAGAAUAGCGGGGGUUGGAUAUCCCUCGUGAAUUACGCAGGCAUCAACUGCGAAGACUAAACACUCCUCGAGACCGAUAGCGAACAAGUAGCGUGAGCGAACGCUGAAAAGCACCCCGAAAAGGGCGGUGCAAUAGGGCUUGAAAUCAGUUGGCGAUAGAGCGAUAUAGCAUACAAGGUCGUCUGACGAAUGACCUAGAAGCGAUUCUACAGUAAGACUCAGACGAAGCCGAUGUUAUAUCGUACGUUUUGAAAAACGAACCAUGGAGUGCAUCUGACUGGCGAGUCUAAGGGGAGAACCCCCGGAGGCAUAGGGAAACCGAUACGGCCGCAGUCUUUGACCAGGGCCACCGUCUUCAAGGGCGGGGAGCCAACCGGAUGCGACCCGAAACCAAGUGAUCUACGCCGGAGCAGGGCGAAGCGUGGCGAAAGCUGCGUGGAGGCCCGUUAGAGUUGGUGUCCUACAAUACCCUCUCGUGACUCUGGUGUAGGGGUGAAAGGCCCAUCGAACUUGGCAACAGCUGGUUCCAACCGAAACAUGUCGAAGCAUGACCUCUGAUGAGAUAGUCCGUGAGGUAGAGCGACCGAUUGGGAAUCCGGCCUCCGAGAGGAGUUCGCUUCCCUGUCAAACUCCAAACUUACGGACAUCGUAGACUCAGGGAGUCCGGUGUGCGGGGUAAGCUUGUGCACCGUGAGGGAGACAACCCAGAGCCAGGUUAAGGACCCAAAGUGUGGAUUAAGUGUGAUCGAAGAUUGUCUCGAGCCCUAAACAGCCGGGAGGUGAGCUUAGAAGCAGCUACCCUCUAAGAAUAGCGUAACAGCUUACCGGCCGAGGUUCGAGGCGUCGAAAAUGAUCGGGACUCAAAUCCACCUCCGAGACCUGGCGGCGUGCUAUUUAGCACGAUUCCGUAGGUUGGCAUACUGCAUGGACGGAAGUACGGGAGAGAUCUCGUAUGGACCGUGCAGCAACGAAAAUCAUGGUCUCAGUAGCAGCGAGAGUCGGGUGUGAACCCCGACGACCUUACGCGCAAGGGUUCCUCGGCACUGUCAAUCAGCCGAGGGUUAGUCGAUCCUAAGUCUAUCCGUAAUUCGAAAUAGAUGAAAGGGAAACUGGUUAAUAUUCCAGUACCUUCUUGCAAUAAACGUCGACGCUUUAGGAAACACCGAGCGGGGCCUUCGCCCCGUCGAAUCACCGAACUUCGUGGAAGCCGUAAUGGCACGAAGCGAAAGAAUGGUGAGAUAGGGAAACUCGGCGGUACCUAGAGCCCGUGAAAAGACAAGCAAGAAGCUCGUACCGAGAUCCGACACAGGUGCGCUGGCAGAGUAAGCCAAGGUCUGUCGGGAUCAACCGACGUUAGGGAAUUCGGCAAGUUAGUCCCGUAAGUUCGCGAUAAGGGAUACCUGCUCUUGAUAGAGCAGGUCGCAGUGACUCGGACGCUCCGACUGUCUAGUAACAACAUAGGUGACCGCAAAUCCGCAAGGACUCGUACGGUCACUGAAUCCUGCCCAGUGCGGGUAUCUGAACACCCAUUACAAUGGGACGAAGGACCCGUCAACGGCGGGGGUAACUAUGACCCUCUUAAGGUAGCGUAGUACCUUGCCGCUUCAGUAGCGGCUUGCAUGAAUGGAUCAACGAGAGCGUCACUGUCCCAACGUUGGGCCCGGUGAACAGUACGUUCCAGUGCGGAGUCUGGAGACCCCCAAGGGGAAGCGAAGACCCUAUAGAGCUUUACUGCAGGCUGUCGCUGAGACGUGGUCGCUAAUGUGCAGCAUAGGUAGGAGCCGUUACACAGGUACCCGCGCCAGCGGGCCACCGAGGCAGCAUUGAAAUACUACCCGUUAGUGACUGCGACUCUCACUCCUGGCGGAGGACACCGGUAGCCGGGCAGUUUGACUGGGGCGGUACGCGCUCGAAAAGAUAUCGAGCGCGCCCAAAGAUUUCCUCACGCGAGUCGGGAACUCGUGGAAGAGCGCAAGAGCAAACGGAAGUCUGACAGUGACAUUCCCAACGAGUGUCGCUGACGCGAAAGCGUGGUCUAGCGAACCUACGAGGUUCAUUCAUGGGACCCGUAGAUGACAGAAAAGCUACCUUAGGGAUAACAGAGUCGUCACCCGCAAGAGCACAUAUCGACCGGGUGGCUUGCUACCUCGAUGUCGGUUCCCUCCAUCCUGCCUGUGCAGAAGCAGGCAAGGGUGAGGUUGUUCGCCUAUUAAAGGAGGUCGUGAGCUGGGUUUAGACCGUCGUGAGACAGGUCGGCUGCUAUCUAUUGGGGGUGCUAAGGAACUUGACGUGAACGUUCGUAUAGUACGAGAGGAACUACGAAUGGGUGCCACUGGUGUACCGGUUGUCCGAGAGGGCAGUUGCCGGGCAGCUACGCACCGCAGGGUAAGAGCUGAAAGCAUCUAAGCUCGAAACCUACACGGAAAAGAAGUUCCACUGAGGUCACUCGUAGAAGACGAGUUCGAUAGACUCGGGGUGUACGUGUCGAGGCAACGAGACAUUAAGCCCGCGAGCACUAACAGACCAAGCCACAUUC